CAAUGAUAAAUGUGUCGAAGAUCCAUCGACCGCCAACCGCCACAAACCUGGAGUAGUGAUCUCUGAUGAUAAAGCCCACACCUCCUCUCGUCUCGCCCAGCAUCAAACUUUAGUCAAUUGCACAAUUGCAAUUACUAUUUUGGAGCGUUUAGUCUCUGAUCAAUAGCUCUACCUCAAUCUUUGACAUGAGACACGAGACUCCCUUUCCAGAAUUUGGAGACAAUUAAUCACAAAACAUAGGCCAAAGAUCCGCACACAAACAAAAUCUUCAUUCAACAAAGCAUCAUAUAAUAAAUCCCGAUGACAACUCCAACGUAGAAAAUUAAUAGCCUUAGCCGGCAGCAACACCUGGCUGGAACAAAGAGGACACGACUAAUUAGGAGUCUAACCAUUGAUUAAUAAGCUUCGUGUGCGUAUUAUGGUUAAAACCAACGUGACUCAAA
rnacentral:lncRNA from 1 species